CGUAGGUGGCAAGCGUUGUUCGGAAUUAUUGGGCGUAAAGGGCGCGUAGGCGGUUUGUUAAGUCGGUUGUGAAAGCCCGGGGCUCAACCCCGGAGAGUCGACCGAUACUGGCAGACUAGAGUACAGAAGAGGUAGCUGGAAUUCCUGGUGUAGCGGUGAAAUGCGUAGAUAUCAGGAGGAACACCUGAGGCGAAGGCGGGCUACUGGGCUGAUACUGACGCUGAUGCGCGAAAGCCAGGGGAGCAAACGGGAUUAGAUACCCCGGUAGUCCUGGCCCUAAACGAUGGACACUUGGUGUGUCGGGUAUUCAAGUCCCGGCGUGCCGGAGUUAACGCGUUAAGUGUCCCGCCUGGGGAGUACGGUCGCAAGGCUG
rnacentral:rRNA from 1 species